rnacentral:rRNA from 1 species
UACGUAGGGGGCAAGCGCUGUCCGGAUUUACUGGGCGUAAAGAGCGUGUAGGCGGCCACGCAGGUCCGUUGUGAAAACUGGAGGCUCAACCUCCAGCUGUCGACGGAAACCGUAUGGCUAGAGUCCGGAAGAGGAGAGUGGAAUUCCUGGUGUAGCGGUGAAAUGCGCAGAUAUCAGGAAGAACACCAAUGGCGAAGGCAGCUCUCUGGGACGGUACUGACGCUGAGACGCGAAAGCGUGGGGAGCGAACAGG